rnacentral:lncRNA from 1 species
ACCUACUUCCCCUGUGACAAUUUUUUUUUAAAAAAAAAAGAAAAAGAAAAAUCCCGUCUCCCAUUAUGCCUGCCCCAUCCCCAUGUAAUUUUUUUUAUUUUUUAUUUUUCUUAAACUAACAUCAGUCCGAUCAUGUUUCUUGCAGUAGAGACAUGGUUUCAAUCCUCAUACACUCCAUUUACUUCCAUCCUCCAUCCUUGGCCAGCACUAGCAAGUGGGUGGGUCAUGGCAUAGAGCUUAGCCAGGACUCUGGCCCUCCACUCAAGUCACUGUUGAUAAGACCUACAUGGUAGAAAAAUACAAAUGUCCCAUCUUUGUGUAUGGAAAAGAAACUAUAUAUUGCUCCUCACAUGUAGAUCUUAUAAUUUUCCCAACUCUUUUUGGUGCACCAUUUUUCAACAUGGGACACCCCAGGUUUCUAACAUGGUCAAAUUGGUUUGUAUCAGCAUUGACCGCUGCAUGCAUUGUAGGAAUAACAAUUGCAAUAGUUACUGCUUUUGUACGCUUAUUCUUGUGAUGCACUUCAUGAAAGCAGGCAAUUCACUGAGGGGAGGAAACAAAACAGUCACACCUUGUUGGAAAUGUUGAAUCCCUGUUACCUUAUUGGAGUAUUUUAUGUCUGUGGCAGGAAAACACACAUCAGGCCUGAAGGGACUCACUAUAAAUUAAAACAGGCAGCACUAAAAGUUAAGGCACCCUCACAUCAGCACAGCUAACUUUACCACGUAUUCUGGACAAGUCUGCCUGCCUGAAUAAGUGCUCCUUGAGGUAUUAAGGGCAAGGUACCAAAACUUUCUACAUUUCUGGGAAAUAGGCGUAUUUAUAGAUUAAUUCUCACAUGGAAAAACUAAGCAGGAGUUUAGAGUGCGGAUUGUAUGGUGGUGUAUUGAUUUGUUUCAGGAGCUAACUUGAACUUAUGAGGCCAUGCAAUGUGAUCUCAAUUUUGAGUAUCUUGUGUUUGUGGAGGUUUGGAGUUGGGAGAAUAGGAUGCUCAGAGACUCCAGUCGUGCUAUGAAAAAGAAAAGGAUGCUCCACCAAAGAAAAAGAAAAGAAGGAUGGGAGUGUCCACCUGUGAUUUUGACCAGACUCCCACUGUCAUCCCUUGCCUCCCAUACCCUGAUAC